rnacentral:rRNA from 1 species
UACGUAGGUGGCAAGCGUUGUCCGGAUUCAUUGGGUUUAAAGGGUGCGUAGGCGGCCAUUUAAGUCAGUGCUGAAAUAUCACAGCUUAACUGUGAGGGUGGCAUUGAUACUGGGUGGCUUGAGUGCUAGCGAGGCAGGCGGAAUUGACGGUGUAGCGGUGAAAUGCUUAGAUAUCGUCAAGAACACCGAUAGUGUAGACAGCUUGCCAGGGAGCAACUGACGCUGAGGCAAGAAAGUGUGGGGAUCAAACAGG